UACAGAGGUGGCAAGCGUUGUUCGGAAUUACUGGGCGUGAAGGGCGCGUAGGCGGCCUUCUAAGUCAGACGUGAAAUCCCCCGGCUUAACCUGGGAACUGCGUCUGAUACUGGGAGGCUUGAGUAUGGGAGAGGGAUGUAGAAUUCCAGGUGUAGCGGUGAAAUGCGUAGAUAUCUGGAGGAAUACCGGUGGCGAAGGCGGCAUCCUGGACCAUUACUGACGCUGAGGCGCGAAAGCUAGGGGAGCAAACAGG
rnacentral:rRNA from 1 species